rnacentral:rRNA from 1 species
UUGGAGGGCAAGUCUGGUGCCAGCAGCCGCGGUAAUUCCAGCUCCAAUAGCGUAUAUUAAAGUUGUUGCAGUUAAAAAGCUCGUAGUUGAAUUUCGGGGUUCUACCGUUGGUCGGGCUUUGUCUGUACUGGUGUGUAGAAUUUCUACCUUCUGGGGAACCAUCAUGCUAUUAAUUUAGCGUGGUGGGAAACCAGGACCUUUACCUUGAAAAAAUUAGUGUGUUCAAAGCAGGCUUAUGUCUGAAUACAUUAGCGUGGAAUAAUAGAAUAGGACGGUGGUCCUGUUUUGUUGGUUUCUGAAUCACCGUAAUGAUUAAUAGGGAUAGUUGGGGGCAUUAGUAUUCAAUUGUCAGAGGUGAAAUUCUUGGAUUUAUUGAAGACUAACUUCUGCGAAAGCAUUUGCCAAGGAUGCUUUCAUUAAUCAAGAACGAAAGUUAGGGGAUCGAAGACGAUCAGAUACCGUCGUAGUCUUAACCAUAAACUAUGCCGACUAGGGAUCGGACGAUGUUAAUUUUUCUUGACUCGUUCGGCGCCUUACGGGAAAC